rnacentral:rRNA from 1 species
AGCAGCCGCGGUAAUUCCAGCUCCAAUAGCGUAUAUUAAAGUUGUUGCAGUUAAAAAGCUCGUAGUUGAAUUUCGGGAUCAAGGAAUCGGUCAUGCCUUGGUAUGUACUGGUUUUAUUGGUUCUCACCUUCUAAAGAACCAUAAUGUCAUUCAUUUGAUGUUAUGGGGAAUUAGGACUGUUACCUUGAAAAAAUUAGAGUGUUUAAAGCAGGCUUACGCUUGAAUACAUUAGCAUGGAAUAAUAAAAUAGGACGUUUGAUUCUAUUUUGUUAGUUUCUAGGAUCGACGUAAUGAUUAAUAGGGAUAGUUGGGGGCAUUAGUAUUCAAUUGUCAGAGGUGAAAUUCUUGGAUUUAUUGAAGACUAACUACUGCGAAAGUAUUUGCCAAGGAUGUUUUCAUUAAUCAAGAACGAGAGUUAGGGGAUCGAAGACGAUCAGAUACCGUCGUAGUCUUAACCAUAAAUUAUGCCGACUAGGGAUCAGAUGAAUGUUAAUUUUUUAAAUGACUCAUUCGGCGCCUU